rnacentral:rRNA from 1 species
UACGGAGGGUGCGAGCGUUGUCCGGAAUCACUGGGCGUAAAGGGCGCGUAGGCGGCGCGGGACGUCCGUGGUGAAAGCCCGAGGCUCAACUUCGGGUCGGCCAUGGAUACUCCUGGGCUUGAGCACUGUAGAGGCAGGUGGAAUUCCGGGUGUAGCGGUGGAAUGCGUAGAGAUCCGGAAGAACACCGGUGGCGAAGGCGGCCUGCUGGGCAGUAGCUGACGCUGAGGCGCGACAGCGUGGGGAGCAAACAGG